CUGAUAUGCCAACUUGAGAUAUCGUAAGCAUAGCUCAAUAGGUUAAGAUAUAUAUCUUCGACCAAAAGGUCAUGUCCACACAGCUAGGGAUGAUCUUCUAGCAGGUCGUGAACUGUUGUUUCGUGAAAAUUUAAAUUAGGUGUACGUCAAAGAAUUCUCAACAUCUGAAAUUUAGUAACAGAGCAACAAUUGAAAUACAAAAUGAAUAUAGCGGUAUGUCCAUAAUACUGCAUAUAACAUGUAGAGAUGGCAUAAAAGCUAAAAUAGCCGACCUUUUGUAAAGUAAUUGAAGUAUCCAGCUCAAUAAGAACACCUGGACCACAAACAAGACAAGUCCUUAUCUUUUACAAACUCUGUCACUUUAGUGUGGAGACCUUCGGCACCAUUAUAUCUGGAAAUGGAUCACUUGACAUUAAAUUCUAUGCACUUGGAAAUUAAGUGCAUAAAUAAAAGGAAGUAAUGGAACAGUAUCAAAGGCUAUCAGAAAUGCAAGCCUAGCACUUGGAAAUUUGUUGCAUUGAAAAUUGUCUCAUUCACCGCAAGCCUAGCUUCAACUUGUCAUAAAAACUUAAUAAA